rnacentral:lncRNA from 1 species
AAAAUACAAAAAUUAGACAGGCGUGGUGGUGCAUGCCUGUAGUCCCAGCUACUUGGGAGGCUGAGGCAGGAGACUCGCUUGAACCCAGGAGGUGGAGGUUUCAGUGAGCCAAGAUCACACCACUGCACUCCAGCCUGGGUGACAGAGCAAGACUCCAUCUCAACAAAAUAAAAAUAAAUUACCCAGUCUCAGGUAUUUCUUUAUAGCAAUGAAAGAAUGGCCUAAUACACCUGAUUUGAGCCUUUCCAUUCUAGGAAGAUAAUGGGUGAGGUACUAGAGGUACUAUGAUCAAAGUCUGUACAACUAUUAGCAGGGAGAUACUGUUUGCCAAUGUCCCAAAUUAGUCUUAUAUGUGGGUAUAAUAAAAAGUACUACUUCACUGGGGCCAGGUGCAGUGGCUCACACUUAUAAUCCCAGUACUUUGGGAGGCUGAGGCAGGAACAUUGCUUGAGGUCAGGAGUUCAAGUCCACCCUGGGCAACAUAGUAAGAUCCUGUCUCUAAGAAAUUUUUAAAAAUUAGCUGGGUGUGCCGGUAUGCACCUCUAGCCCUAGCUACUUAGGAGGCUGCUGUGAGAGGGUGGCUUGAGCCGAGGAGUUUCAAGAUUACAGUGAGCUAUGAUUGUGCCACUGUACUCCAGCACUCCAACCUGGGUGAUAGAGUGAGAUGCUGUCUAAAAAAAAAAAAAAAAAAACAAAAAAACCUACCUCACAUAGAAGUCCGCAAGCAUACUAACCCCCCUGAAUGUAAUCUGCCUUAAAUCUACAUUAAACUCAGCAUCAGCAGUCACUGGGGCUAGAAUCUCUCAACUGGCCUCACUGACCUGUCUCGGUUUCAGGCACACUUCUGCCACUAGCUAUGUCACCCCACUUAUGGCAGCCUCUCAGGGCCUUUGAAGUCAGGAAACUGAGGCAGCAAAAUGGUGUUCCUGGAUUUGUUCUUUCAAAACAUAUCUGAGUGGUGUAAGAGUUGAAGAAAGAAGAAAGAAACAUGAAAAGUGGCUUAACAGUCAAACAUGGGCUUAUUUUGGAGUAUAAACCUGAGAGGGGCUUCUGGCCAACUUAGGUCAGGAGCCUUUUCUCUUACAGACUAUGAGUAUUUAAGAGUUCAGGGUGGGAGAGCUUAUCACAGGCUCGGAAUGUUUCUGUGUCUCUUUGUCUUGCUUACCUGGGAGGGAGAGUUGUGUGUCUGUUCCCAUACAUCUUCCUGCAGCUGCAGGCAUCCCCCCACCCCCUGAGUCUGCUUUUAGCUUCCUUAUCUUAGUGCACCUAGAGGGAAAGGAAUGUGCUUAUUAGGGCCCACUGUUUUACUGGGGCUCAUUGUAUGAGUGUGAAGUUGGGUGGUUACCCGAGACUUUCUCCCUCCUUCUGUGCCUGAGCUGUCUUAUCUGUGCUUACUGUCUGCUCUUUCUGGCUGCUUGUCAUUAGAAGAGAAGUGAUUUCCUUAAGACGCAUGAGGUUUGAAAGGGAGCUGGAACGUAAAGUGGUGUUUGUCCAAGACAACGGUGCUCCUGCUCUGUGAAGUGGCUCCUCUGCACUAGGCACAAUUCUAGACACUGAGGGUAUGGUAUUGAGGACAGACAUCAAUCCCUACCCUCAUGGAGCUUACAUUCUAAUAGCAGAGAAAGAAAGUAAACAAUAUACAUAAGUGAAACACAGAGUAUGUUAGGUAGUGGUCAAUGCAAAGGAGAAAAAUGUAGAAGGGAAGUGAUGUGGGGUGAGGAGGAGCAGCUACAAUUUUAAAUAAAGUAGGCCUCACUAAGGUGAUAUCACUAAGGUGUUAUACUGUCACCUGGUAUCACUUUGGUGAGGUCUUCUCUGGCUACUUUACCUAAGUAAGUUAUCAAAUAUUUAUCAAUUACACCUGUAAUCCCCACACUUUGGGAGGUGUGGAUCUGUAGUUCCAGUUCCUCAGGAGGCUGAGGUGGGAGGAUCUCUUGAGUCCAGGAGUUUGAGGCUGCAGGGAGCUGUGAUCGCACAGUACUUCAGCCUGGGUGACAGAGCGAGACCUUGUAUAAAGGUAUGAUUUAUAUUUAUAUUUACCAAAUUUAUUUAUAUUUAUAUUUACCAAAUUUAUAUUUACCUGAUUUAUAUUUACCAAAUAUUUUAUUUGAGUAAAGACUUGAAAGAAGUGAGAGAGAAAGUCAGGAAAGUCUCUGAGGAAACAGCAUUACAGGCUAAGGAAAUAGCAAGUGCCAAGGCCCUGACAUGGGAGCAGGCAUGGGUUACUCAAGGCCAUCGAGGCCAGGGUGGCUCGGAGCUGAAGGGUGGGAAAGCAGGAAGUGAAGGAGAGAGAGCCACAGGAGCCUUGGAGGCAUUAUAAGGACUUCAGCUUUUACUUUGAGUGAGAUAGGAACCCACUGAAGGGUUUGGAGGAGAGGCCUGAUCUGAUUCAACACAAUUAUGUUGGCUGUUGUGCUAAGAGUGGACAAGACAGGUAGGUAGGCAGGAAGGCAGGUAGGUAGGUAGGUAGGUAGGUAGGCAGGCAGAUAGGUAGGUAGGCAGGCAGUAGGUAGGUAGGUAGGUAGGUAGGCAGGCAGAUAGGUAGGUAGGUAGGUAGGCAGGCAGGCAGGUAGGUAUGUAGGUAGGUAGGUAGGCAGGCAGGCAGGUAGGGAGGCAGACAGGCAGAGUAGGGAGGCAGGUAGGUAGUCAGGUAGCCAAGGGCAGGAGCAGGGAGACCUGUUGCAAUAAUCCGGGCAGAAGAAAUGGUGCCUGGGACCACGGUUACAAAAAUGAUCAGAUAACGAAUAUAUUUUGAAGUACAGUUGAUAGGAUUCUGGAAUG